rnacentral:rRNA from 1 species
GUGGGGAAUAUUGCACAAUGGGCGCAAGCCUGAUGCAGCAACGCCGCGUGAGGGAUGACGGCCUUCGGGUUGUAAACCUCUUUUAGUAGGGAAGAAGCGAAAGUGACGGUACCUGCAGAAAAAGCACCGGCUAACUACGUGCCAGCAGCCGCGGUAAUACGUAGGGUGCAAGCGUUGUCCGGAAUUAUUGGGCGUAAAGAGCUCGUAGGCGGCUUGUCGCGUCUGCUGUGAAAACCCGAGGCUCAACCUCGGGCCUGCAGUGGGUACGGGCAGGCUAGAGUGCGGUAGGGGAGAUUGGAAUUCCUGGUGUAGCGGUGGAAUGCGCAGAUAUCAGGAGGAACACCGAUGGCGAAGGCAGAUCUCUGGGCCGUAACUGACGCUGAGGAGCGAAAGCAUGGGGAGCGAACAGGAUUAGAAACCCCAGUAGUCC